CACCGCUCUCUCAAGACCGUGUGCCGACCUACCUUUGUCGCUUCCUUGCCCUCGAAAACCCCUCCUCUCUCGCCCUUCCUCUCCAGUAGCGAACGAUCUGUCUGAAGCCCUGAUUUCGCUCCUCUCUUCGCCCAAGAUUGAAUCUAGAAACGAAAUGCUAGAUUACCAUCUUCUCCGUUUCUCCCUGUCAAUUGCAGCUUUGUGGCUUCUUCCGAUGGCCGGAGUUGAGCGAGCGGUCGUAGUGUGAGCUGCGGCCUGGACCCGGUGAGGGCUCAUCCCUUCUGUGACUCCUGAAGAAAGAGAGGAUCGUUUUUAAGUUCAGAACUUCAUGAGGCCAAGAGGCACUACUCGUCGAUUAUGCAGUGAGGUCGGCCCAAAAGGAUUGGAAGUGAUGUGUUUAAAGAAAUAUCUUACUGCAGAAGCGAUGUUUGCAGGAAGACCCUAAUCACUUGUUUUGUCUUCUUACUUUUUUUGUCUGCAGUAUUAGUUGCAGAAAAGUGUAUGGUGAGCGAUGUCUUCUGCAAUUAGCUCAUUAAGCACUUGUUUUGUUCAGUCUCUACUUGUUCUUCAUUAAUCUGCUGUCCUACCUUAAUUUUCUUUUGUGGAUAGACACAUUAUGCUUGAACUCGUAAGUUCAAUUUAUAGUCACUUGUUUUCCCUGCCAUCUGUAUGAAAACUGAAGAUAUACCGUCUAAAGUUAUUAAUAGAGAUGUGGAAUUGAUGCUUUGCCUUCUAGAUGUGGCUCUUGUUUCUGUUGAUUUUUCAAGCAUUUUUCUGCUAUAUGCUCCUGCAUUUAAGUUGAAAGCUUAAGGUACAUGUUAUUGACAAUCACUGUUGUUUGGAACACGUAUUUAGGUCUAUAGGCUUGUAUACUCAUAUAUGCUUUACAAUUCGUUUAUUACAUGCAGAAUUAUUGGUUUUCAGUCCACUUGGUUUUGUGAGUGGACUCUCAUAUGACGGAAGGAUCCUUGAAUAUCACAUGAAUUCAAAUUCAUUUGCUAAGGUCAGAAACGGGAAGGAGAUUCCAUUUAGAACAAGUUUCAAGAGUUCAAUGUUGUGGAUGUUCUAGACUUGACGCCUAACUUGCAGAUCAUUUGUCUUCCAACUAAGGUACUUUAUGCCCACUUUGGGAUCAAUACUUUAUUAUGAAUAACCAGAUGAAACUGUCUACAAUGGAUCUCUUUCCUCAUUGUAAAUUAAACACUGAAGAAUAUAUCACAAGCUAUGAAGAUUCUCAAUGCACUGAAGAAUCUUUCCGCUUUUCUUUAUUCUGGUGAUGAUGAUUCUUAUUGUCUAUCAAAGCAAUUUAUUUAUCUGCUUUUAGUGGAGUUGAAUCCUCUUUCAAUCUCUAGAAGCAAGAAAGUAGCUAUACUUAUGAACUUACAUGAGAAACUUUAUUUGGAAAGGAUCUUGUUAGCUAUGUUCCUCCUCUUAAAAGGGUUCACUAGAAACCUACAUAAUUGAUUUAGCCAUAUAUGAAACCAGCAGUAUAAUGCCUGUAGAUAUAAGGAGUUUGUUUGAAAA